GGUGGUAUAGCUCAGUUGGUUAGAGCGCAGCAUUCAUAAUGCUGAUGUCCCAGGUUCAAGUCCCGGUACCACCACCA
rnacentral:tRNA from 45 species